CAAUGGGUUUUCGUUAGAGGUGCGUUGUCACAGCGAAGCUGUGUGCAACACUUACAGUUAUUUACAAGUCUCAGAAUUACUAUUGUGAUUUGUUUUUACAGUUGAGAGUAAACAGAAAGUUUAUUUCACAUCAAAUUAAUGAAAGAAAACGUUUCUGGUAAGAACGGAAAAAGAAACGUAAAGUUUUGAAGCUGCUAUCUGAACGUUUUUCAUUCCCUGUCCGAACAAGUAGUACGCCACCAACAACGUGCAGUGGACAAGAAACUCCCCAACAUGCUGAAGCUCCGCCCAAUCGAGUAUUAUUGAGCUACCUCGAAAGUCGAAAUUCUUGCCCUUCCAGGGACCAAGUAAUAACCAGCUGGCGCAAUAUCUGCAAUAUCUAAUUGAAACAGCGAGUGGAAUAUCCCACGAGACAUGAGGUUUGGUGUUGUCCUGGUUGAACAUGACGACAUAUGACCCGUUUCUGGGCGUUUAUCCUGCAUCUGACUGAUGGUGGCUUCAUAAUACAAAAUUCUUUUUCAAUCUCACCCAAAGUAAGAUUUUCAUCGAGUGAAGACUGACUAUAGAGAGAAGCUAAUGGUGGUUCAUUCCGAUUGUUCCAUGAUUUUGAUCGCGCCAGUUUAUAAAUUAUGUUG